UCGUACCAAAUGUGUCAGGCAUGCUUGGGCUGUUGCUGACUCAAAAAGUCGUGCACGCUGGAGGGUGUCCUCUCACAUAAUAAUCCAUCUCACCCUUUGUGCAUCACCGCGUGGGCACCCUUUGGGAUCGGACCGAUCUCGGAAGGGGGCCCGCGUUUUCACACAAACCCCCCCAUCUAAAAGUGUAGAAUGUCCUCAUUUAUGCAAUAAAUAC
rnacentral:misc_RNA from 1 species